rnacentral:rRNA from 1 species
AUACGGAGGGUGCAAGCGUUACUCGGAAUCACUGGGCGUAAAGCGCGCGCAGGCGGCUAUUUAAGUUGGAUGUGAAAGCCUAUGGCUCAACCAUAGAACUGCAUCCAAAACUAUUUAGCUAGAGUGUGGGAGAGGAAGAUGGAAUUAGUUGUGUAGGGGUAAAAUCCGUAGAGAUAACUAGGAAUACCAAAAGCGAAGGCAAUCUUCUGGAACACUACUGACGCUGAGGCGCGAAAGCGAGGGGAGCAAACAGGAUUAGAAACCCGAGUAGUCC